GACGAACGCUGGCGGCGUGCUUAACACAUGCAAGUCGAACGGUAACAGGCCGCAAGGUGCUGACGAGUGGCGAACGGGUGAGUAAUGCAUCGGAACGUGCCCAGUCGUGGGGGAUAACGCAGCGAAAGCUGCGCUAAUACCGCAUACGAUCUGUGGAUGAAAGCGGGGGACCUUCGGGCCUCGCGCGAUUGGAGCGGCCGAUGUCAGAUUAGGUAGUUGGUGGGGUAAAGGCUCACCAAGCCGACGAUCUGUAGCUGGUCUGAGAGGACGACCAGCCACACUGGGACUGAGACACGGCCCAGACUCCUACGGGAGGCAGCAGUGGGGAAUUUUGGACAAUGGGGGCAACCCUGAUCCAGCAAUGCCGCGUGCAGGAAGAAGGCCUUCGGGUUGUAAACUGCUUUUGUACGGAACGAAAAGGCUCUGGUUAAUACCUGGGGCACAUGACGGUACCGUAAGAAUAAGCACCGGCUAACUACGUGCCAGCCGCCGCCGUAACAC
rnacentral:rRNA from 1 species